rnacentral:tRNA from 1 species
GGAGAGGUACCCGAGUGGCCAAAGGGGACGGGCUGUAAACCCGUUGGCGCAGCCUACGGAGGUUCGAAUCCUCCCCUCUCCACCA